AACGAACGCUGGCGGCAUGCCUAACACAUGCAAGUCGAACGAGACCUUCGGGUCUAGUGGCGCAAGGGUGCGUAACGCGUGGGAACCUGCCCUUAGGUUCGGAAUAACUCCCCGAAAGGGGUGCUAAUACCGGAUAAUGGCUUCGGACCAAAGAUUUAUCGCCUUUGGAUGGGCCCGCGUUGGAUUAGCUAGUUGGUAGGGUAAAAGCCUACCAAGGCGACGAUCCAUAGCUGGUCUGAGAGGAUGAUCAGCCACACUGGGACUGAGACACGGCCCAGACUCCUACGGGAAGCAGCAGUGGGGAAUAUUGGACAAUGGGCGAAAGCCUGAUCCAGCAAUGCCGCGUGAGUGAUGAAGGCCUUAGGGUUGUAAAGCUCUUUUACCCGGGAUGAUAAUGACAGUACCGGGAGAAUAAGCUCCGGCUAACUCCGUG
rnacentral:rRNA from 1 species